AGAGUUUGAUUCUGGCUCAGGAUGAACGCUGGCGGCGUGCUUAACACAUGCAAGUCGAACGAAGCAAUUAAGUGGAAGUUUUCGGAUGGAAGCUUAAUUGACUUAGUGGCGGACGGGUGAGUAACGCGUGGGUAACCUGCCUUAUACUGGGGGAUAACAGUUGGAAACGACUGCUAAUACCGCAUAAUAAAGUUAGUCGCAUGACCUACUUUUGAAAUAUUUAUAGGUAUAAGAUGGACCCGCGUCUGAUUAGCUAGUUGGUGAGGUACCUGCUCACCAAGGCGACGAUCAGUAGCCGGCUUGAGAGAGUGACCGGCCACAUUGGGACUGAGACACGGCCCAAACUCCUACGGGAGGCAGCAGUGGGGAAUAUUGCACAAUGGGGGAAACCCUGAUGCCAGCGACGCCGCGUGAGUGAAGAAGUACUUCGGUAUGUAAAGCUCUAUCAGCAGGGAAGAUAAUGACGGUACCUGACUAAGAAGCCCCGGCUAACUACGUGCCAGCCGCAGC
rnacentral:rRNA from 1 species